rnacentral:tRNA from 1 species
GCGGGGGUGCCUGAGUGGUCAAAAGGGGCAGACUCAAAAUCUGCUGGCUUAGUGCCUUCAUAGGUUCAAAUCCUAUCUCCCGCA